rnacentral:rRNA from 1 species
CUACGGGUGGCAGCAGUGGGGGAUAUUGCACAAUGGGGGGAACCCUGAUGCAGCGACGCCGCGUGGGUGAAGAAGCGCCUCGGCGCGUAAAGCCCUGUCAGCAGGGAAGAAAAUGACGGUACCUGAAGAAGAAGCCCCGGCUAACUACGUGCCAGCAGCCGCGGUAAUACGUAGGGGGCAAGCGUUAUCCGGAAUUACUGGGUGUAAAGGGAGAGUAGGCGGCAAGGUAAGCGAUAUGUGAAAGCCUUAAGCUUAACUUAAGGAUGGCAUAACGAACUAUCUAGCUAGAGUACAGGAGAGGAAAGCGGAAUUCCUAGUGUAGCGGUGAAAUGCGUAGAUAUUAGGAAGAACACCAGUGGCGAAGGCGGCUUUCUGGACUGAAACUGACGCUGAGGCUCGAAAGCGUGGGGAGCGAACAGGAUUAGAUACCCCGGUAGUC